rnacentral:lncRNA from 1 species
GGACGGAACAUUGAGCAACCCUGCGUGUGCGAGUGUGAAGGCAGUUAAAAAAAUGGGGGUUUCCCCCCACGAUUAUAUACACGCAUAUCAUAUUCCUGAUACAUAUUGCAAUGGAAACACUGCAUAUGUUUAGGAGAAAGAACAAGUUGGAAAUCAAUGGAGUGUAGCCACGGUGUAUUGCAAUAGCAAAAUAGUGACAUUUGCGCCUCACGAAGCCGAAUAAAGUCCACAUAGAUUAUGUUCUAAACAGAAACUGCAAUGCCAAAAUAAGGCAUAGGGGGUUUAAAACGUGAUGAAAAGGGAUAAGUGAGAGUCUAUGAAUAUUUUAAAGAGAAGGGUGGUGACUUGGAGAGCCAAAUUUGCCGACGGCUCUCCUAUUGGUUUAGUGGGAACGUGAUGCCAUUGAGGAGUUGGUCUUAACACUUUAUAAAGCUUCCCCGUUGAUGGUCAGACACUGUGAAAUACACGACUGUUAACUCCUGAUAGGCGUUGGAAAUCCCUGUGUCUCCGGCACCACAGCAAAAAAAAACAUGAGUGAGAGACAAGGAUCUGGAGCGACGGGCGGCAACAGCAAAACCUCCGGAGGACAAGGUAAGCCAUCACACGGCUGCUCAUCAGAUUAGCCUCUGCUAAUGUAGCAUUGUCUGCUUUAUUUGGUCUGCCUGCAAGUACAGUGUUUUAGGCUUUUAGUUUUACAGUUUUAUGUGUAUUUACAAAAAGACGCCUUUUACAUAGAACUUUACAGUGUCUACCAAUAACUAUUUUAGUGUUCUGGUGUUCUUUUUCGGAACCCUAUAGGCCAUCAGUUCGAUUGAAAAAUGUGAAGCAUUUCACGGUUUCACAGACUUAAUAAUUCUCAAGAAUUUACAUCAUUUAGCAGACGCUUUUGUCCAAAGCGACGUACAAGGGAGAGAACAGAAGCUACGAGCAAUAGAGACCUAGUGUAACAAUAGAUACUAUUUUACAUAAGAAAUAGAAAAAAAAGUGCAGGAAUGUAACUGUAACUGUAAAUGUAACUAAGAAUUAAGAAACUCAUACAACAGAUGUUUCAAGUAUAGAUCAAACUGUCUGGGAUAUUCCGGAACUGAAAAGGUUCCUAAAUAGAACUGUUAUAGGUUCCUCUGAGAACUUUUAAUUUCUCAGAGUCUAACAACACAGUUGUGGUACAGUGAUACAGAUAUACUGUAGCACCCCAGUGUAGCACCAAAUGAUUUUUCUUUCAAAUGCUCU